GACGAACGCUGGCGGCGUGCUUAACACAUGCAAGUCGAACGGAAAGGCCUCUUUCGGGGGGUACUCGAGUGGCGAACGGGUGAGUAACACGUGAGUAACCUGCCCUUGACUUUGGGAUAACUUCAGGAAACUGGGGCUAAUACCGGAUAGGAGCUCCUGCUGCAUGGUGGGGGUUGGAAAGUUUCGGCGGUUGGGGAUGGACUCGCGGCUUAUCAGCUUGUUGGUGGGGUAGUGGCUUACCAAGGCUUUGACGGGUAGCCGGCCUGAGAGGGUGACCGGCCACAUUGGGACUGAGAUACGGCCCAGGCUCCUACGGGAGGCAGCAGUGGGGAAUAUUGCACAAUGGGUGGAAGCCUGAUGCAGCAACGCCGGGGGCGGGAUGACGGCCUUCGGGUUGUAAACCGCUUUCGCUCAUGACGAAGCUUUGUGUGACGGUAGUGGGUAAAGAAGCACCGGCUAACUACGUG
rnacentral:rRNA from 1 species